GAUGAACGCUAGCGUCAGGCCUAACACAUGCAAGUCGAGGGGCAGCACAUGAGUAGCAAUACGAUGGUGGCGAACGGCGCACGGGUGAGUAACACGUAUGCAACCUGCCUUCUACUAUGGGAUAACCCGUUGAAAGACGGACUAAUACCGUAUAAUACAGGGGCUCCGCAUGGAGAUAUUUGUUAAAGAUUUAUUGGUAGAAGAUGGGCAUGCGUAUGAUUAGAUAGUUGGUGAGGUAACGGCUCACCAAGUCAACCAACAUUAGGGGUUCUGAGAGGAAGGGCCCCGACACUGGUACUGAGACACGGACCAGACUCCUACGGGAGGCAGCAGUGAGGAAUAUUGGUCAAUGGACGAGAGUCUGAACCAGCCAAGUCGCGUGAAGGAAGACGGUUCUAUGAAUUGUAACCUUCUUUUGUGCAGGAAUAAAGUGGGUUACGUUUAACCUUUUGUAUGUACUGUACGAAUAAGGAUCGGCUUACUCCGUGCCAGCCGCCGCCGUAAGAC
rnacentral:rRNA from 1 species